AUGGCGACCGCCUUCGACUCGCCGACCUCGUCCCCGGCUGCCGCACCCUUCCAUGACGACCCCUUCCUCUUCGCCGACAGCGGGGCCCCGACGUCCGACGUCCAUGUCUCUGGGGGUGGCGACGACUUCCCGGCCUCCCCCGACCCCUACGCCUUCCGCCACGACUCUGUUGUCGUGCACCCCUUCGGCAUGCCCGACUCCAACGGCAACGGCAUGCACCACGACGCGGACGACCACGACCUCUUCACCGACUCCGACCCUGUCCUCCCCAACCCCGCCCAGGUGGGGGCCGAUGAGGGCUUCCUCCUCUGCAAGUGGCGCCGGUACGUGCGUGCGCUACCUCUCCUUGCUCCUCUCACCCAGAUCUGA
rnacentral:rRNA from 1 species